rnacentral:rRNA from 1 species
UACAGAGGUCUCAAGCGUUGUUCGGAUUCAUUGGGCGUAAAGGGCGCGUAGGCGGCGGGGUAAGUCGGGUGUGAAAUCUCAGAGCUCAACUCUGAAACUGCACUCGAUACUGCUCUGCUUGAGGACUGGAGAGGAGACUGGAAUUCACGGUGUAGCAGUGAAAUGCGUAGAUAUCGUGAGGAAGACCAGUGGCGAAGGCGGGUCUCUGGGCCGAUACUGACGCUGAGGAGCG